GGGAAAGGCAGGAAUUUGGGCCCUUGACGUCAGCCCCGGGCAGAGCGCAGCAGCCCGGCGGGGCGGGGGGGAGCGGCCGGUUUUUUAGCGGCCGCCGCUUUCGCUUUUUGUUUCGGGGGUGUCCCCGGGAGCUCGGGGCUCGCAGCCCACCUCCUCCGCCGGAGGGGAGGGCUGUGAAAGAAACCCAAAGUCGUGACUCUGGCAGUCUCCAGAAGCCCCGCUCCGAGUUCAUCCCACCAGCAAGGCUGUGCAGUGCGGGAGCCGAGUGCCUUAUAAUUGAGCGUGCCUGA
rnacentral:lncRNA from 1 species